GUGCAUAUCACCCGGGGAUCUUGUUAAAAUGCAGAGUUUGAUUCAGUAGGUCUGAGUGGGGUCCUGAGAAUCUGCAUUCCUAAUAUGAUCCCAGGUGAUGCUGAU
rnacentral:pre_miRNA from 1 species